UGGCUGUCUCUGUCUCUGUGGUUGUGGCUGUUGUUGGGCUUCCACAUUCCGCAUUGAAAGUUUAUCGGGAUUUGCCGUGUUUCCAGGGAUUUUUGUGUAAAGCAUACUUGAGAUGGAUUUCCGUGGGAUUUAAAUGCAAAAUAGGCUCGCAAAAUAAAAGAGCUUUACAC